rnacentral:tRNA from 1 species
GGGGAUUUAGCUCAGUGGUAGAGCGCUUGCCUAUCAGGUGCAAGGCCCUGGGUUCGGUCCCCAGCUCCG